rnacentral:lncRNA from 1 species
AUGGCCACAAAAUACUCCCAUCUGCGCUCCCAUUGUCAUCUAUGGUCAGUAUUAUUUUAUGGCUCACCUCACGAUUCCUCCUUUCGCUACAUCUUCUUCCUCUUGUAUUACUUUCAGGCUACCACACUUCUGCUAUUUGUCAUGGCUUGACGAGGCUGAUGCCGCUAAUUUGAUGAUACAAAAUAGCAACAGAGGUACACCUUGAUCCAUCAUUCAUCCACUCCAUUUCAGGUAGCAGUCAUGUAGUCAUCAAACGCGAGCGGAUUUUUUUCACCGCGUGCAUACAUGAUACAUCAAUUCAUCUUCACACACCUCUGUUCAUGUCCUUGCCACUGCCGCUGCGUGCUCCCCGCCUAUUGACACGACCCUGAGAGACAUGAGGGUGUCGGCGAUGGCGCUGACCAUAAACUUCCGCAGGGACGGACGAAC